rnacentral:misc_RNA from 1 species
UUAAUGAUUGUUAUUAACAUAAUUCAGACAGAAGGCAAAAUAAAUACAAAUGGUUUGUAGAAUACCUCCCGCAAGCGGCCAGAGCCUACUGGUUAGGUAGACUGAGCAAGGCCUGAAAGGCAGUUUGGGACACAGUGCCCAAACCCAGCCUGCGGAAGCAACAGGAAUGAUACGCAGGGUGUGUUAGAAUUGUAGCUCUGGGCUUACGAUGAAGCUUAGUACAGAUUCUUCUAAUGAUCCUUCCGCAGGUUCACCUACGGAAA